GGGGACGACCUGGUUUCGACUGCAUUGAUGGGUCUGUAGUUGCAUGCCGAGUGUGCUGUCAUCUCGUAAAUCGUGGCAGAAUAAAGAUAAUCGCAAACGAUAAUUUUGCUCUUGCAGCCUAAUUAGCUGCAAUGUCUUUAAUCAUUCUUCUCCCCCGGGAGGAUUAAAGGCAUCAAAUUACAGGGGAUAGCCCGAUUCUGUGAUCCCGGGAUGAAGGCGAAACUCAAGGGAAAUCGGCUUUCAGGACAAUGCCUGUUUUUGGACUGACAGCUUAAAUCAAAGAAACAGGAUAAGCAUGUAGAAGCUGCAGAUUUGUGUUGUAGGACGCGGGUUCGAGUCCCGCCGUCUCCAAUA
rnacentral:tmRNA from 1 species